rnacentral:misc_RNA from 1 species
UUAUUUUUUAACACUCUCUAACUAAUAUAUUUAAAAAAAAAACUUUUUUAAACAACAAUUUUAAUAGCAAUAGGAAACAAAUGUGAAGAAGUUCUAUUAGUAUAAUUAGGUUUAGAUAAAAACUCAACUCAAAUAAACCUUUAUCCCAAAAAUUUGAAGUCGGCUAUAUGGAUUCUUUUUCACCAUUCAGCUUUGUUAGACAUCAGGUCCAAAUCAAUAUCCAAAACUUGUAAAUCUUUUGAUUUUACUUCUCUCCAUAUCAUCUUAGGCCUCCCUCUUCCCUUUCUCACUCCUUUUCCUACACACACUUCCAUACUGAGACAUUUGAUUCUCUGCGUUGUACAUGAGGAAAUCAUCUUAAACGACAUUCUCUUAUUUUAUCUCCAAUAUGUGUUGUAUAUAUUCUCUAGCAGAUGUGGUCAUUCCUAAUAUUGUCCUUUAUCCGACAUUCUUCUUAAAUAAUAGAAAUAUUACUACUUAGUAAAUUUCCUAAAUAUAAAAGUCUAAGCUUCCUAAUUUUACAAUAAAAAAAAUUAAAUCAAUAUAAUUCCUAAACUUAAUCUUCAUCGACUAUAUCAUUCUCCCUUAUUUGGAGAAAACUCAACCUCUUUUUUUGUAGUGUUAAAGAAUCAAAACUGAUUUUGGAGAACACACAACCUUAUCUUAUUGGAUGGUAGCAAUAAUAUUGAAUUUCAUACUUUUCUUCACAUCCCUGAAAACAUCUACACAUAAAAUUAGUUACAACUACAGUUUAAUGACUCUUCAAUCCACCAAGAGCAAAAGAAUUAGCCAAAUCUUCAAUUUUCAUUGUAGUCUUCAUGGCUUGAUUUUCUUCUUUCCCUAUUAUAGAUUCCUCAAGCUUUUUUUCCUCAUUCUCAUCAUCUUUUUUCUCUCGAACAUAUUCCUCAAAAUUUUCCAACCUAAUCUUUUCAUCCUGGAUUUCAACAUUUGAAGGCUCAACAAUUAAGGCUUCAAAUUAUCCUGUUUGCUAUUCUUAUUUCUUCAUUAUGAAUUUCUUGCCUUGCAUUCUUUUGGGUUAUAAUUAUAUCUUCAAGAACUCUUGAUAUCAUGUCCAGCUCUGCUUUUAGCCUAGCCAAAGUUUCAAGGUACUUCUCAUCUUUUUCUUGUGAUUUUUCUUCAAACUGAACAUUUGAGCAAGCAUCAUAAGCCCAAUAAUUAGAACCUAUUUGUGACUGAAUAAAAGAAGUUCCCCUAUACUUGAACCAAAUUGAUGUACAGCCAAUAGAACUAAGGGGAAGAAACAAAUUCUCAAAUCAAUUGUCAAUCAUAAAAAGUUCUAAUACACUACCUAAAUGACAUGGUUAUUUCUAGUAGAAUUAAUAGUCCUACUAGUACUGGGAUUUAGAACCCUAAACAAGAAAUUAUUAAGCAAAAUAUCAACUUAACUUUCUAAAUAAAACAAAAUACUACUUCCUAAAUAAUAA